rnacentral:ncRNA from 1 species
GGUCAAGUGACUAAGCGUGCACGGUGGAUGCCUAGGCAGUCAGAGGCGAUGAAGGACGUUGUAACCUGCGAUAAGGUUCGGGGAGGUGGUAAACAACCUGUGAUCCGGACAUUUCCGAAUGGGGAAACCCACCCAGUGUAAGCUGGGUAUCCUGCGGGGAAUACAUAGCCGCAGGAGGCGAACCCGGGGAACUGAAACAUCUAAGUACCCGGAGGAAAAGAAAUCAACCGAGAUUCCCCUAGUAGCGGCGAGCGAACGGGGAGUAGCCCUUAAGCUUUUAGCGUUUUAACAGAACACUCUGGAAAGUGUGGCCAUAGUGGGUGAUAGCCCCGUAUGUGAAAAGGCGCU